UACGAAGGGGGCUAGCGUUGCUCGGAAUCACUGGGCGUAAAGCGCACGUAGGCGGAUUGCUAAGUCAGGGGUGAAAUCCUGGAGCUCAACUCCAGAACUGCCUUUGAUACUGGCGAUCUUGAGUCCGGGAGAGGUGAGUGGAACUGCGAGUGUAGGAGGUGAAAUUCGUAGAUAUUGGGAAGAACACCGGUGGCGAAGGCGGCGACCUGGUCCUUGACUGACGCUGAGGCGCGAAAGCGUGGGGAGCAAACAGG
rnacentral:rRNA from 1 species